rnacentral:rRNA from 1 species
GAUGAACGCUGGCGGCGUGCUUAACACAUGCAAGUCGAACGAAGCACUUUAUUUGAUUUCCUUCGGGACUGAUUAUUUUGUGACUGAGUGGCGGACGGGUGAGUAACGCGUGGUUAACCUGCCUUGUACAGGGGGAUAACAGUUGGAAACGGCUGCUAAUCCCGCAUAAGCGCACAGCAUCGCUUGAUGCAGUGUGAAAAACUCCGGUGGUAUAAGAUGGACCCGCGUUGGAUUAGCUAGUUGGUGAGGUAACGGGCCACCAAGGCGACGAUCCAUAGCCGGCCUGAGAGGGUGACCGGGCACAUUGGGACUGGGACACGGCCCAAACUCCGACGGAAGGCAGCAGUGGGGAAUCUUGCACAAUGGGCGAAAGCCGAAUGCAGCGACGCCGCGUAAGCGAAGAAUUAUUUAGGAAUGUAAAGCUCUAUCAACAGGGAAGAUAAUGACGGUACCUGACUAAGAGGCACCGGCUACAUACGG